rnacentral:rRNA from 1 species
ACGGAGGGGGCUAGCGUUGUUCGGAAUUACUGGGCGUAAAGCGCACGUAGGCGGCUUUGUAAGUUAGAGGUGAAAUCCCGAGGCUCAACCUCGGGUCUGCAGUCGAUACGGGCAAACUAGAGUAUUGCAGGGGAGACUGGAAUUCCUGGUGUAGCGGUGAAAUGCGUAGAUAUCAGGAGGAACACCGGCGGCGAAGGCGGCCCUCUGGAUCGUUGCUGACGCUGAGACGCGAAAGCGUGGGGAGCAAACAGGA